rnacentral:snoRNA from 1 species
AGGCUUGAAGAUGAAGAAGUCGCCUCCUACAUCCUUGCAGGUCUUGACGCGGAGUACAACCCCGUCGUGUCCUCCGUGUCAUCAUGCAUCAGCAAUUUGACCCUCGCCAAACUCUACACCCAGCUGGUAAGCUGGGAGC